rnacentral:rRNA from 1 species
UACGUAGGAUCCGAGCGUUGUCCGGAUUUAUUGGGUUUAAAGGGUGCGUAGGCGGUUUUAUAAGUCAGUGGUGAAAGUUGGCCGCUCAACGGUCAAAUUGCCAUAGAUACUGUAGAACUUGAGUUAAGUUGAGGUGGGCGGAAUGUGUCAUGUAGCGGUGAAAUGCAUAGAGAUGACACAGAACACCGAUUGCGUAGGCAGCUCACUAAGCUUAUACUGACGCUGAGGCACGAAAGUGUGGGGAUCAAACAGGAUUAGAUACCCUGGUAGUCCACACUGUAAACGUUGAUAACUUGCUGUUGGCGAUAUAUGGUCAGUGGCUAAGGGAAACCGAUAAGUUAUCCACCUGGGGAGUACGUCCGCAAGGAUGAA